CAGUAGCCGCGGUAAUACGGAGGAUCCAAGCGUUAUCCGGAAUCAUUGGGUUUAAAGGGUCCGUAGGCGGUCUUGUAAGUCAGUGGUGAAAGCCCAUCGCUCAACGGUGGAACGGCCAUUGAUACUGCAGGACUUGAAUUAUUGGGAAGUAACUAGAAUAUGUAGUGUAGCGGUGAAAUGCUUAGAGAUUACAUGGAAUACCAAUUGCGAAGGCAGGUUACUACCAAUUGAUUGACGCUGAUGGACGAAAGCGUGGGUAGCGAACAGGAUUAGAUACCCCCGUAGUCCCUGUCUCUUAUAA
rnacentral:rRNA from 1 species